rnacentral:rRNA from 2 species
AGAGUUUGAUCAUGGCUCAGAUUGAACGCUGGCGGCAGGCCUAACACAUGCAAGUCGAACGGUAACAGAAAGCAGCUUGCUGCUUUGCUGACGAGUGGCGGACGGGUGAGUAAUGUCUGGGAAACUGCCCGAUGGAGGGGGAUAACUACUGGAAACGGUAGCUAAUACCGCAUAACGUCGCAAGACCAAAGAGGGGGACCUUAGGGCCUCUUGCCAUCGGAUGUGCCCAGAUGGGAUUAGCUAGUAGGUGGGGUAAAGGCUCACCUAGGCGACGAUCCCUAGCUGGUCUGAGAGGAUGACCAGCCACACUGGAACUGAGACACGGUCCAGACUCCUACGGGAGGCAGCAGUGGGGAAUAUUGCACAAUGGGCGCAAGCCUGAUGCAGCCAUGCCGCGUGUAUGAAGAAGGCCUUCGGGUUGUAAAGUACUUUCAGCGGGGAGGAAGGGAGUAAAGUUAAUACCUUUGCUCAUUGACGUUACCCGCAGAAGAAGCACCGGCUAACUCCGUGCCAGCAGCCGCGGUAAUACGGAGGGUGCAAGCGUUAAUCGGAAUUACUGGGCGUAAAGCGCACGCAGGCGGUUUGUUAAGUCAGAUGUGAAAUCCCCGGGCUCAACCUGGGAACUGCAUCUGAUACUGGCAAGCUUGAGUCUCGUAGAGGGGGGUAGAAUUCCAGGUGUAGCGGUGAAAUGCGUAGAGAUCUGGAGGAAUACCGGUGGCGAAGGCGGCCCCCUGGACGAAGACUGACGCUCAGGUGCGAAAGCGUGGGGAGCAAACAGGAUUAGAUACCCUGGUAGUCCACGCCGUAAACGAUGUCGACUUGGAGGUUGUGCCCUUGAGGCGUGGCUUCCGGAGCUAACGCGUUAAGUCGACCGCCUGGGGAGUACGGCCGCAAGGUUAAAACUCAAAUGAAUUGACGGGGGCCCGCACAAGCGGUGGAGCAUGUGGUUUAAUUCGAUGCAACGCGAAGAACCUUACCUGGUCUUGACAUCCACGGAAGUUUUCAGAGAUGAGAAUGUGCCUUCGGGAACCGUGAGACAGGUGCUGCAUGGCUGUCGUCAGCUCGUGUUGUGAAAUGUUGGGUUAAGUCCCGCAACGAGCGCAACCCUUAUCCUUUGUUGCCAGCGGUCCGGCCGGGAACUCAAAGGAGACUGCCAGUGAUAAACUGGAGGAAGGUGGGGAUGACGUCAAGUCAUCAUGGCCCUUACGACCAGGGCUACACACGUGCUACAAUGGCGCAUACAAAGAGAAGCGACCUCGCGAGAGCAAGCGGACCUCAUAAAGUGCGUCGUAGUCCGGAUUGGAGUCUGCAACUCGACUCCAUGAAGUCGGAAUCGCUAGUAAUCGUGGAUCAGAAUGCCACGGUGAAUACGUUCCCGGGCCUUGUACACACCGCCCGUCACACCAUGGGAGUGGGUUGCAAAAGAAGUAGGUAGCUUAACCUUCGGGAGGGCGCUUACCACUUUGUGAUUCAUGACUGGGGUGAAGUCGUAACAAGGUAACCGUAGGGGAACCUGCGGUUG